rnacentral:lncRNA from 1 species
AUGAACUUGGGGAAAAUAAUUAAAAAAAAUAUAUUAAAAAAGGAAAAAAGAAAAAGCGGGAGACGCGACACGCGUGGUCGGGUCCAUUCCGAGCGCAGAGAGAAAGGCUGUGAGGGGCGGGGGCUCCGGGCAGGUACCGAGGCGGGGCGCUGGGGGGCCGCCCCAGCCCGCUCCAGUGGCCGAGCACCGCGGGGAGGCGGCGGCGAGCGGCAGCCGGGAGAGAGGGCACGGAGAGGCACGGGAGCGACCGGGCGCACCGUACCGCAAAGAAAGACCCGGAGGGAAAGUGGAAGUGCUACUGGAGGAGAGGCGGCUGUGCCUCGACUGCGUUUAUUCGAGACUACUGCUCUACUGAGACCUUGUGCUGCCAAAGCUGGAAGAAUCGACAAAAUUCAUGCCUUCUGGCCAGCACUUAAAACUGGACAGGAUUCCCUUCGUGAUGGGAUUAAGCCAUUCAUUCUCACAUUGGAUGCAAGAUAAAUACUGUUACUGUCAGCAAAAUUACAGUGAAGUACACUGUUCCUGCUGUAAUUUGAUUUAGCUCCAGUGUAAAUGACAUUGUACCAGUUUCUAGAAGCAAAGGCAUGAUCUCAAAAGUCUGUUUACUGUAGUACUGUUUCUGUAGACUUUCAUUUUUUUCUCUAAUACGUAUAAUUGAAAGCUCUGUAGAAGUACACUAAAUUUGUGUAUUUUCUUGUCUGUAGACUCCAGAGCUUAUGUUUAGUUUAAAAGUGGAUUCAAUAAAGAUU